AGAAGCAGAGCGGUAGGGACCCUGGCAAUUGGAAGACCGAAGCGCGGGACUGAGGGUCGGGAGGCGUGGGACACUUGGGGGCUAGGAGUGAGGCCCUCGCGGAUCACCGCGUGGGGCAGCUGUGCUGGGAGCUAAUAACCAGACUCAGAUCAGGGGCUCUGGGCCGGGGAGCUAGGCCCCCAGGAUUGAUAGGACGUUCACCACAACUCAGCACUCCUAAGCUGGCUCUCUUUGAAACGAGGGACCUUUUAUUAAUUUGCCUUUUACCUUCCUCAACUUAGUCCAGUGACUGUUUGUAGCUGCAGGGUGUUUUGUUGCAGGGUGUUUUGUUAUCUUUUAGUGACGGAGCCUGUGACAGUCAGCUGGUUUUGAACUCAAAAUCCUCCAGCCCUUGCCUCUGAAGUGGUGGAAGUACAGUACAGGCCAGCACCAGAACGCUCUAGAUUGGAUUGAUUGUCUAUCAAUCUUCUUUCUCAAAUUUACUUGUAAUAUCUGGUUAGAUUUGCCUGUUGGUUGGUUGGGUUUUUUUUUUUUUUAAGGUUUAUAUAUUUUAUAUAUGUGAGUACAUCGGUGCUGUCUUCAGACACACCAGAAGAGGGCGUCAGAUCCCAUUACAGAUGGUUGUGAGCCACCCUGUGGUUGCUGGGAGUUGAACUCAGGACCUCUGGUAGAGCAGUCAGUGCUCUUAACCGCUGAGCCAUCUCUCCAGCUGAUUGGUUGGUUUUUGAGACAUCUCUUGUAGUUAACCCAGACUGGCCAAGAACUUGUCCUGUAGCCAUCCUUAAACUGCUGAUCCUUCUACCUCCACCUUUCAGGUACUGGUAUUUGGGAGAUUGGACACCUGGCUUCCUUACCAUCACCACUCCCAAACAGGAUUUCAUGUCACCCACAGUGGCCUUGUACUUGUUAUGAAUGAAUUUAGGCUCUAGUUCUUUCUGUCUCCACCUCCUCUCCGUUGGGGUUAUAUGCAUGUGUUGUCACACCAGGCUCAGACCGCUUUGGUGUUUUAAGUAAAAUCCUGGUUGGUUUGUCUGAUUUGAGUUCACUAGCCUAUCCCUUAUGAUAUUAUCACUUAGUAACACACUUAGCACAAAUUUACUUGUAAUAUCUAGUUAGAUUUGCCUGUUGGUUCAAAUGGAUAUCACCCAGCAAACCUGUCCUCGUCACAGGCAUUUACCCUGUGACAUAUACUCCAUCCACAAAAAUCAGUGUUUUCUGGCAUACCAUCUACCAGGUGUCCCAUUCAGAAACUUUAUAACUAACUCCUUGACUUUGCCCUCUACCUUACCAUAAAUCAAUUGCUAGGUCUUCAGUAUUUGUACUACCAAUUCAUGUUCUGGUUUUUCUAUUAUUGAUACAUGCACUAGAUAUCUAUUGGUCUGUUACUACUACUUUCAGUUCAUUCUCAUAACAGACAGAGUCAUUAAUCAAGAAUUACAGGAGCCAAUAAGAUGGUUAAUGCAACAAAGGGAAACUUGAUGAAGUCAAUCAUCAAAAAUGACGAUUGAGACUAAGAGAGAACCAACUCCACAGAAUUGUCCACUGACCAUCACACUUCUGUCUUGACACACAGUUGUCAAGAGAACUGAUUCCCAAAUGUCCUCCAACCUCUGUAUUCAUGCCAGGACACAUACUUGCAUGGACAUAAAUAAAUGUGAUUAAAAAGCAGCCUGACAUGUGCUGAGAAUGUAAGUUUGGGACACUGUGAAAGUCAGGAUUUAGGAAAUUUGGAUGCAGAUUCAGAAAAAUAUCAGAUAUUCUUAACUAUGAUUCUGAUAGUUUCAAAACUGAAAAACUAGUGCUAUGGGCUUCUAUAAAGAGACACUACUGACUGACCUUCAGAACAGUUAUUUCCCUUGCAUAUUCUAAAACUGGUGGACUAGUUAUCUUAAGGAAAAUCUUUUUAUAUUUCUAAGCCCCAGUUUCCUCAGUUUUAACAUGAAUGGAACAAAAGAAUCUUUUAAGAUCCAGCCCAGUUCUAAAAUUGAUUUCUACGCCAUAUAACAUGAAUUAUGAGAUCAAAUGUAGCAUAAAAAAAGAACACGAAAAUACAUCGAGCUGGACUUACUUUGAUUUUCCUCUAGGGUAUGCACGCCUCCCUUGUCAUCCAAAAAGUUCCUUGAAAACAGCUAAGUUUUUCUUGUCUACUAUGUUCUCAGAACCAAGUUUAUAUUGGAACUCUAUUAAUUUGAGUAAAUUGGCAAGAGAUAAAUAUACAGUAUCUUUUUCUCUGAGAUUAAUUUACUUUUAUUUAUAUAUAUGUGUAGAUGACUGUGGAGGCCAGAAAAGGGUGUCAGAUCUCCUGGAGUUGGAGUUACCUGAUGUGGGUGUGGGGAUCAAAUUGGGGACCUCUAUAAGGCCAGAUGCAAAUGUUUGUGCAAGAUUCUGUGGUUGUUGUGGGGGUGCUGCAGCUUGGGACCUUAAGACACAGACUUGGGAUCCUACUAUUAAGCUACACUUCCAGAUGCAAAUUGUAAUACCAGUAGAAAAAUAAAAAUCCAUCUCUAAUACCAGUUUAUAUUCGCUCCUGGCAAUGAGAUUUCCAUACUAGUCUCUUCUCUCUCUUGAUUUUUUUUUUUAAUCUAGGUUUUUAGGGGGAGCACAUUUAUAUCAGUUUUAUUGCAGAGUAGGUUCUGUAUUGAUGAGUAUGUUAUUAACCUUACUUAGAACAAAAGUUAUUUUUUGAAAUUGAAGACAUUUUAAUUUUAUAUGUGCACACACCUAUAUGCAUGUUCAUAUGUUCACGGGCACAUAUGUAUGUGUAGAUGCUAGAGCUUGUGAAAGCCUAAAGUUGACACUCAAGUGUCUUCCUCAAUUUCUCUGUUUUAUUUAUUGAGACAGGUUCCCUCAUUAAACCCACCAAUUCUGUCUAGUCUAGUUGGCCAGUUAACCCUAGGGAUCCAGUCUUUGCCUCUGAAGCAUAGGAUUGAAGAUAGCCACCACUUGAGAUCACAUGGGUUCUGAGAAUCCAGACUCUGGUCCUUGGGCUUAUAGCAUUUCCCCAACCCAGUACUUUUAUUAUUAUCUGGGUUGAAUUUUUAUACCUGGAUGCAAAUUAUAACAAACUAUAUUUACUCAUUCUUAAGCAGUUUUCAUUAAAAACUACAUUUUGGCCUGGUAUAGUGUAUAUGGUAUAGUUUACAUACAUGCCUAUAAUUCAAGCACCUGGAGGCAGAGGCAUAUGGAUCUCUUGAGUUUUAGGGCAACCUGGUUUACAUAGUGAAUUCCAGACCAGCCAAGACUAUAUAGUGAGACCCCUGUCUCAAAACAUGCACACACACUAUGUUUGAGUUUAGUUUUAAGGUGGAGCCUCCCUGUGUAGCCCUGGCUGAUAUUCAACUGGCAGUCAUUCUGGCUCAGACUCCCAAGUGUUAGGAUUGUAGGAGUAUGUCACCUUGCCUGGACACAUUAUAUUCUGUACUACUAUAUCAUAAUACCUAGAAUGACAUUGUUUAAUUUUUAUCAUCUAUAAUGUUUUCUGCAAGUGGUUAUUAAUUUUUUGUUUUUUUCGAGACAGGGUUUCUCUGUGUAGCCCUGACUGUCCUGGAACUCAACUUUGUAGACCAGGCUGGCCUCGAACUCAGAAAUCCGCCUGCCUCUGCCUCCCGAGUGCUGGGAUUAAAGGUGUGUGCCACCACGCCCGGAUGGUUAUUAAUUUUUGAAUUGAAAUUGAUCAAAAUAAAGAAUUAUAUACUAUUACCCUGAAAGUUUAAGUAAAAGGAAAGUUAAGAAUCUUCUGAAAUCACUUAAGACUUUUCAUGAGCAAAUAACAACUCAACUUUAGGUGAUAGGUUAAAUAAACUUUUCAGGUAGAUGUGUACCUUUGUAAAAAUGAGGUUAUUAUUUCCUACUUUAAAGGUUAUAUUAAUAUUGAAUAAUGUAUGUAAAGUGACUGAGACAGUAGAUCCUCAGCACAUUUAUUUUUUAAUCUUUGUGUUCCUAGUACCACAGUAAUAUCUAGCACAUGGCAGUGCUUAAUGUGCUUAAACUGCACUAGUAAAGCUAGUAGUUUAGAGGAAGCAGGAUAACAGACAAAUACUAUAGAUGGGACCUACAUCAGUCAAUACUGGGAACCCCUGAGGCUUCAGAGAGGUAAUAUUAAAGAUGAGACUUGAAAGAAUAGAACUUUGAUAGGGACACUGGUGAGGCUAAAAAGACACAGGUGCGUGUCAGAGAGAUAUAUGGAAGUAGAUCCUAUUUUCAUAGCAAAUACAGAGUAAGAAUAUGAGGCUAAUGAAGAUGUCAAACAAAGAUCAGACCACAACCUAUCUUUCAUUUCAUUAAGGAAUUUACUACACUUAAGCAGCUGAGAGCCACAUAAAAUUUUUUAAAAACUGUAUUCAUUCAAAAAAUGUUGGUUGGUUAUUGUAUGCUAAGCACUGAAGAAGGAAAGAAAAUGUGUACCCUUGAGGAAUUUACAUUAUUAUGUAGAGAUGAGAAAUAAUCUUGCAAGUUAUCAAAUAAUUUUUAAUCAUAGCAAUAUGGAAAACUACUGGAAUGUUUUGAGAGGAAACAUUACUUGAAGCUUUCUAGCUUUGAGGAUAAGCUGAAAGGAUGAUGGCAAAUAUGGUGAUAUUAUUAAGCAAUUGUAUUACUAUAAAUAUAAUUCUACACAUACCAUGGUGCUGAGAAUUGAACUGGGCCUUGAACAUUCGAGGGAAGUACCACUGAGUGACAUCCCAGCCUCAUACAGUGUUAUAGAACAGAAGACUAAAAUGUGGUCGGAGUAGAGUGAAUAAAUGUUACUGACAGCUGGGUGUAGUGGGAGAAAACCUAUCCACUUAGAAUGCUGGGAUAGGAGGAUCACAAACCCAUCCUGAGCUACUUAGUUCUAUGCCAACUACCUAGCAAGACACUGCAGAAGGAAGGAAGGAAAGAAAAGAAAAGAGG
rnacentral:lncRNA from 1 species